rnacentral:rRNA from 1 species
UACGGAAGGCAGCAGUGGGGAAUAUUGCACAAUGGGCGCAAGCCUGAUGCAGCCAUGCCGCGUGUAUGAAGAAGGCCUUCGGGUUGUAAAGUACUUUCAGUCGUGAGGAAGGUGUUAAGGUUAAUAACCUUAGCAAUUGACGUUAGCGACAGAAGAAGCACCGGCUAACUCCGUGCCAGCAGCCGCGGUAAUACGGAGGGUGCGAGCGUUAAUCGGAAUUACUGGGCGUAAAGGGCACGCAGGCGGUUAAUUAAGUUGGAUGUGAAAUCCCCGGGCUUAACCUGGGAAUGGCAUUCAAGACUGGUUAGCUGGAGUCUUGUAGAGGGGGUAGAAUUCCAUGUGUAGCGGUGAAAUGCGUAGAGAUGUGGAGGAAUACCGGUGGCGAAGGCGGCCCCUGGACAAAGACUGACGCUCAUGUGCGAAAGCGUGGGGAGCAAACAGGGAUUAGAUACC